rnacentral:pre_miRNA from 1 species
AUAGUACUCUCUCCGUCCGGAAAUACUUGUCGAAGAAAUGGAUGUAUCUAGACGUAUGUUAGUUCUAGAUACAUCCAUUUUUAUCCAUUUCUGCGACAAGUAAUUCCGGACGGAGGGAGUAGUAU